GCGUUGUCCGGAUUUAUUGGGCGUAACGCGCGCGCAGGCGGUCGAUUAAGUCUGAUGUUAAAGCCCGGGGCUCAACCUCGGUUCGCAUUGGAAACUGGUCGACUUGAGUGCAGGAGAGGAAAGUGGUAUUCCACGUGUAGCGGUGAAAUGCGUAGAGAUGUGGAGGAACAACAGUGGCGAAGGCGACUUUCUGGCCUGUAACUGACGCUGAGGCGCGAAAGCGUGG
rnacentral:rRNA from 1 species